rnacentral:rRNA from 1 species
GACGAAGGAUGCAAGCGUUAUCCGGAUUCAUUGGGUUUAAAGGGAGCGUAGGUGGACUGAUAAGUCAGUGGUGAAAUCUUUGGGCUUAACCCAAAAAUUGCCAUUGAUACUGUUGGUCUUGAGUAUAGUUGCCGUUGGCGGAAUAUGACAUGUAGUGGUGAAAUACAUAGAGAUGUCAUAGAACACCGAUUGCGAAGGCAGCUGACGAAACUAUAACUGACACUGAGGCUUGAAAGUGUGGGGAUCAAACAGG